AAAAGGGAGUAAGCUGAGCGAAACAAUUGAGUGCUGAGAUUAUUUGUGCAUGAAAAGGCAGGCAGUGCUGUUGUGUCAGCUUGUAACAUGGCUGCUCUAUUUUCGGCAUGCUUCCUUGUGGCAGUUACUCAGCAUGCAGGCUCCUCUCACAUCAUAAUUGGGGGGGAAAAUAGAAAGCCAUGGCAACUAAUGCAGGGGUUGAACCAUGUCCAUUUUGCCAGGGAGCAAUAUUCAUCAGGUGGCUCUGUAAAAUCUGAAAACAUUUUGAGGUUUGUUUUUCUUUUGUUUUUGGCCUCAACAUAUUUUGCACACACAUGCAUAUUUCGACUUCCCUUAUCUGCAAAUUACUUUCUAGUGGGAAGGUUAUUGUUGUGAAAUGUUAGCAAACCGCAGUGCUCUUUCUGACUGUUGACGCGAGACGCAUGGGUAGCAAAAUGUCAAGUGAGGUAGUGGAACUCAGAUUCAAUAAUAAGUUAAAAAAAGAAAAAGAAAGCAAUGUAACAAUCGUCACGUCAAAUGUGUGAGCCAUAAUCUUCUCUUUCAUUCUUCACCUCAUCUUUUAUCUCUGUCAAGGAUGAAUACAAAAAAUAUUGUUUGUAAGUUUUACUGCGCAGCAUUUGAUUUACACUUGAAUAGUUAUAGUCCAGAUUCAAUAUAUGCUAUAAUGGUUUUAAACUUAAUUGAACUUAAGUCUGUUAACUAUUUUAAAACGUGGCAGAUCGAUUCCAAUUCAAUUGCAAGAAUUUCUUAUGGAAUAUUUUUCCUCAAACGCUUUUUUUUUUUUUUUUU